GCCAGCAUGGCAUAAUGGUUUGAGUGUUGGACUGUGAUUCUGGAGAUGAGAGUUCAAUUCCCAUUUUGGCC